UGCCCUAGUAACGGCGAGUGAAGCGGCAACAGCUCAAAUUUGAAAUCUGGCUCUUUCAGGGUCCGAGUUGUAAUUUGCAGAGGGCGCUUUGGUGUUGGCAGCGGUCCAAGUUCCUUGGAACAGGACGUCACAGAGGGUGAGAAUCCCGUACGUGGUCGCUAGCCUCCGCCGUGUAAAGCCCCUUCGACGAGUCGAGUUGUUUGGGAAUGCAGCUCUAAAUGGGAGGUAAAUUUCUUCUAAAGCUAAAUACUGGCCAGAGACCGAUAGCGCACAAGUAGAGUGAUCGAAAGAUGAAAAGCACUUUGGAAAGAGAGUCAAAUAGCACGUGAAAUUGUUGAAAGGGAAGCGCUUGCAGCCAGACUUGCCUGUAGUUGCUCAUCCGGGCUUUUGCCCGGUGCACUCUUCUAUAGGCAGGCCAGCAUCAGUUUGGGCGGUUGGAUAAAGGUCUCUGUCAUGUACCUCUCUUCGGGGAGGCCUUAUAGGGGAGACGACAUGCAACCAGCCUGGACUGAGGUCCGCGCAUUUGCUAGGAUGCUGGCGUAAUGGCUGUAAGCGGCCCGUCUUGAAACACGGACCAAGGAGUCUAACAUCUAUGCGAGUGUUUGGGUGUCAAGCCCGAACGCGUAAUGAAAGUGAACGGAGGUGGGAACCCCUUUGGGGCGCACCAUCGACCGAUCCUGAUGUCUUCGGAAGGAUUUGAGUAAGAGCAUGGCUGUUGGGACCCGAAAGAUGGUGAACUAUGCUUGAAUAGGGUGAAGCCAGAGGAAACUCUGGUGGAGGCUCGCAGCGGUUCUGACGUGCAAAUCGAUCGUCAAAUUUGGGCAUAGGGGCGAAAGACUAA
rnacentral:rRNA from 1 species